rnacentral:rRNA from 1 species
GCGAAAGGCCCCUCCGGGGGCCCGGUAGAGUGGCGCACGGGUGAGUAACACGUAGGUAAUCUACCUCCGGGUGGGGAAUAACGACCGGAAACGGUCGCUAAUACCGCAUAACGCAGCGGCACCACAUGGUGACAGUUGUUAAAGCGGGGGAUCGCAAGACCUCGCGCCUGGAGAUGAGCCUGCGGCGGAUUAGCUAGUUGGCGGGGUAACGGCCCACCAAGGCGACGAUCCGUAGCCGGCCUGAGAGGGCGGACGGCCACACUGGCACUGACAUACGGGCCAGACUCCUACGGGAGGCAGCAGUCGGGAAUUUUGGGCAAUGGGCGCAAGCCUGACCCAGCAACGCCGCGUGAAGGAUGAAGCUUCUCGGAGUGUAAACUUCAUAAGAGUGGGACGAAUAAGCGGGGGAUAACACCCCCCGCGAUGACGGUACCAUUUGUAAGCUCCGGCUAACUCCGUGCCAGCAGCCGCGGUAAUACGGGGGGAGCAAGCGUUGUUCGGAUUUACUGGGCGUAAAGGGCGCGUAGGCGGCGCGACGAGUCACUUGUGAAAUCUCCGGGCUUAACCCGGAGCGGCCAAGUGAUACUGUCGUGCUAGAGUGCGGAAGGGGCUACUGGAAUUCUCGGUGUAGCGGUGAAAUGCGUAGAUAUCGAGAGGAACACCUGCGGCGAAGGCGGGUAGCUGGGCCGACACUGACGCUGAGGCGCGAAAGCCAGGGGAGCGAACGGGAUUAGAUACCCCGGUAGUCC